UCCUACGGGAGGCAGCAGUGGGGAAUUUUCCGCAAUGGGCGAAAGCCUGACGGAGCAAUACAGCGUGAGGGAAGACUGCCUAUGGGUUGUAAACCUCUUUUUUCAGGGAGGAAUAAAAUGACGUGUACCUGAAGAAUAAGCAUCGGCUAACUCCGUGCCAGCAGCCGCGGUAAGACGGAGGAUGCAAGUGUUAUCCGGAAUCACUGGGCGUAAAGCGUCUGUAGGUGGUUUAAUAAGUCAACUGUUAAAUCUUGAGGCUCAACUUCAAAAUCGCAGUCGAAACUAUUAGACUAGAGUAUAGUAGAGGUAAAGAGAAUUUCCAGUGGAGCGGUGAAAUGCGUAGAUAUUGGAAAGAACACCGAUGGCGAAAGCACUUUACUGGGCUAUUACUAACACUCAGAGACGAAAGCUAGGGUAGCAAAUGGGAUUAGAUACCCCAGUAGUCCUAGCCGUAAACUAUGGAUACUAGAUGUUGAACAGAUCGACCUGUGCAGUAUCAAAGCUAACGCGUUAAGUAUCCCGCCUGGGAAGUAUGCUCGCAAGAGUGAAACUCAAAUGAAUUGACGG
rnacentral:rRNA from 1 species